AAACGUUUUCGAAUAAGGU
rnacentral:miRNA from 1 species